rnacentral:rRNA from 1 species
GACGAACGCUGGCGGCGUGCCUAAUACAUGCAAGUCGAACGAAGCUGUUUUAACUGGUGCUUGCACCGACUUAAACAACUGAGUGGCGAACGGGUGAGUAACACGUGGGUAACCUGCCCCAAAGCGGGGGAUAACAUUUGGAAACAGAUGCUAAUACCGCAUAACCACAGAAACCACAUGGUUUCUGUGUCAAAGAUGGUUUCGGCUAUCACUUUGGGAUGGACCCGCGGCGUAUUAGCUAGUUGGUAAGGUAAUGGCUUACCAAGGCAAUGAUACGUAGCCGAACUGAGAGGCUGAUCGGCCACAUUGGGACUGAGACACGGCCCAAACUCCUACGGGAGGCAGCAGUAGGGAAUCUUCCACGAUGGACGAAAGUCUGAUGGAGCAACGCCGCGUGAGUGAAGAAGGUUUUCGGAUCGUAAAACUCUGUUGUCAGAGAAGAACGUGUGCGAGAGUAACUGCUCGUGCAGUGACGGUAUCUGGCCAGAAAGCCACGGCUAACUACGUGCCAGCAGCCGCCGCCG